UGGGGAAUCUUGCACAAUGGGGGCAACCCUGAUGCAGCGACGCCGCGUGAGCGAUGAAGCCCUUCGGGGCGUAAAGCUCUUUCGACCGGAACGAUAAUGACGGUACCGGGAGAAGAAGCUGCGGCUAACUACGUGCCAGCAGCCGCGGUAAUACGUAGGCAGCAAGCGUUGUUCGGAGUUACUGGGCGUAAAGAGUGCGUAGGCGGUUUUCUAAGUUCGGUGUGAAAUCUCCCGGCUUAACUGGGAGGGUGCGCCGAAGACUGGGAAGCUGGAGUGUGGGAAAGGCCGGCGGAAUUCCUGGUGUAGCGGUGAAAUGCGUAGAUAUCAGGAGGAACACCGGCGGUGUAGACGGCUUGCUAGACCAUAACUGACGCUGAGGCUCGAAAGCGUGGGUAGCAAACA
rnacentral:rRNA from 1 species